rnacentral:rRNA from 1 species
AAAUAAGCUAUGAAGGGCUAAUGGUGGAUGCCUAGACUAUAAGAGGCGAUGAAGGACGUACUAGACUGCGAUAAGCCUCGGGGAGCUGUCAAGAAGCUUUGAUCCGGGGAUUUCCGAAUGGGACAACCCAAUGUGUUAUGCACAUUACACCUACGGGUGAGCGAACCUUGUGAAGUGAAACAUCUCAGUAGCAAGAGGAAAAGAAAUCAAUAGAGAUUCCCAAAGUAGCGGCGAGCGAAAUGGGAUUAGGGCGCUAAGUGAUAGCUAAUUUGUUAGGUGAAGUUUUUGGAAUGAAACGUCAUAGAGAGUGAAAGCCUCGUAACUUAAAACAUUUUAGUGGUACUAGACUUAGGAACGAGUAGGUCGGGACACGUGAUAUCUUGACUGAAAAUGGGAGGACCAUCUUCCAACCCUAAAUACUACUUAUAGAUCGAUAGUGCACAAGUACCGUGAGGGAAAGGUGAAAAGUACCCCAGUGAGGGGAGUGAAAUAGAACCUGAAACCAUUAGCUUACAAUCAUUCGGAGCCCUAUGUUUUAUACAGGGUGACGGACUGCCUUUUGCAUAAUGAGCCUGCGAGUUGUGGUAUAUGGCAAGGUUAAAUCAAGUAUGAAGCCGUAGCGAAAGCGAGUCUGAAUAGGGCGAAUUAGUCAUAUGCUGCAGACCCGAAACAAAGUGAUCUAUCCAUGAGCAGGUUGAAGCUGGUGUAAGAGCCAGUGGAGGACCGAACCCGCUGACGUUGAAAAGUCAUGGGAUGACUUGUGGAUAGGGGU